AAACUGCAGCCCCCUGUGUCUGUGCAGUUACCAGCCACUCCACUGAGGACUUUCCCCUCCAGCACCAGGCAAGAUGAGACUUUGGCUCCAUUUACUUUUCCUUGUGGCGGCUCUGGAAGGGGCCCGGUCACAGGUUGUUCUGACCCAGUCGGGUCCAGAACUGAAGAAACCCGGAGAAUCCACUCAGCUGAAAUGCUCCGUGAGCGGGUUCACUAUCACCGACUACUAUAUGGAUUGGGUCAGACAGGAGCCGGGAAAGGGGCUGGAGUGGCUGGUCCACUACUGGAAACCAGGGAGCGAGUAUUAUUCUCCCACCAUCAAGGGGCGAUUCACAGCCUCCAAGGACAGCUCCAAUUUCUACCUGCAAAUGAACAGCCUAAAAGCCGAGGACACCGCCGUGUAUUACUGCGCCAGAGACACAGCGAGGGGAA